CGCAGUCCGGCUGGGUUCCUGCUAAACUGCAUGACAGCUUGCAAAGGGCAGGCAGCUACGGGGCUGCUUCCAGGACCGACCUCGAAAGAUUUCAGUCGGAAAAGAGCUGGGAUGUUCUUGGCAGUGCCCAAGAAAACUUUUCUUGAGAGCAGCUGCCUGGGCACAGGGAAGGAGCUAGGAUGGCCGCCCGGUCAGGCUGGCACAGAGAGGCCUGCUCAGCCACAGGAGGGGCCCAGGGGCUGGUGUGUCAUCACUAAACCCUCAGUGAUGGGGAGCCAAGCUUUACCUCCAGCCCCAGGCUCUGCACAGUGAGAUGUCUCCUGGAGACCCAGCAGUGGCAAAUCAGAUUCAGUGCCACAAACAGGGUCAAGAACAAAUGUUUGGCUGCCCAUGAACUGCUUGGAGGAAAAGGCAGCAGCGAGAUAAGGUUAUUGUGGGGAUUGGAUCCUGCCCUCAGGGCCACAGUUGGCCCAGGCACAGCCAGAGAACACAGCCAGCAUUGUCCAUCCUUCAAGCCACAACCACCGCGCAGAGCACAUGUUGUCUGAACUAAUGGGUCUUCGUAGGAUCCUUCUGGUUGAGAGAUGAUAUCACAGAUUGUAUCUCUGUCCACUUUUGGUCUGGGCUGUUGCUAAGAGAAAAACAAUUCUUGGCAAAUUCCUCGAAGUGCUUGCCUCCUACAGUUUGGAUGAAGACAGUUUGUUCAAGAAAGAUGGGUAGGUGUGAGUUUCUGUCUUUUCCCCUCCUGAGAAUUGUUUUUGCCAGUGCAGAACUGAAGAUGAUAAUGCUCCCAUUAAAAAUGAGGUGAACGCUCAGGCUAACAUGAAUGGGUGGAAAGGAUUUCAAACAGGAUGAAUCUGGGGACAAACCCACCCUUGCCAAGACAAACAGCUGCAGAGAUCUCUGGAAAGAAAAAGGGCACUGCUGUUCAAAAUGAUUCAGUCACACAGGGCUGGUUGAGGCUGUGUAUCCAUCCGUUUGUAGCGAAAACCAAUGGCUUUCAUAUGAAGAAAGAAAAGGUACAUCAUACGUCACACAAGAGGACUGGAGAACUGAUAUCAUUAGGACAACAAACUGAUACUCCAUAGGACAAUAGAGAUAUGGGCUGAGCACAAAGCAGAAAGCUCUCACUCUCCUUCCUACAUCUGUCUUUCAUUUGCUUUGCCUCUAUCUGCCUGUUGUUGAUGUUUUCUCACAUUGUCUUGGUCCCUUUGUUCAAACUGCAUUUCAUUCCAGGAAGGCAGGGAGCUCCAGGUGUGACUGAGGGCUGUGAGCAUGAACUCGCUGCCGCAGUUAUUAUUGUUAUCAUUCCUCUGAAAACCAGCCUGGUGGAGGUUUGGCUCGGUGUAAUUUGUUCUGCUGUUUUAACUGUAUCCUUGUUAAAUGUGGAAAAGGGAAUGAAGUGCACUGCUUUGCACGAUGGCUUGCACCCAAAGGUGCAGCCUUAGCUAAUGAAGUGCUGGCAUACUGUGCAGCAAGAUGUUUGAGAUUGCAGACUGAGACCUGCUGCUCAAAUGAAUCAGGUGUUCAGGACUCACUGCUCUUCUUUGUAAUGGGAGGAACUGCAUGUUAAAAAAGCCAAUAUAGACUUUGCAAUGUUCUAUAAAGUUUCAACAUUUUUUAUUUUAAGACCCCAGUGAUAUUCAGUAAUUGUAUUCCCACCAUCCAGCUAUUUAGCAAUCUAAACACAUACUAUUUUUCCCAUUACUAUUGUUUUCAUUACUGGCAGUAGACUUGUGGAAGUCUGGUUAUUUUUGUCUUUGGACACUCCCUGUGUACAUCUAACAGCACAGAUAUUUUAAUACAUUUUUCAGUGGUUCCCUCUGCUCCAGUUGAGCCCCUGGAGAAGUUAUGGAGCCCCUUUGUGUGUGUUGGAUGAAGACCUCUCUGGGAUGAGUCUGGAGCAGACAACUGCCAUAAUGUUAAGCUCAACUCCAGCUUUCCCCCAGUCUGGCUUGAUGUGUUCAGUGCCUCCACAAUCAGGUGCAGCUCAGCCCUGAUUCAGUGGGGAUUAAGUGCACAAGCAAUGGUGUGUUUUCCCUCAGAUGUGCUGCCUCAAAUACAUUUGCCAGGGCCAGGGAUAGCCCAUGGCUGGACCACACAGACUCUCCAGAUGGGCUGACACUCCAAAGACAGGAUGGCAAGCAGCUUUGGCAGUCUGGUUGGUACUUCAAUAGAUAGACUCUUUUUAGCUUUGUUUUUCAAGAGUUUCCCUUCUAUUUUGCAACAGGCCCUUCCUGUGCCAUGUUUGGCUCAUUCAAACCAGCUCCAGUGUUUAUAACUCCCACUGCAUUUCCUACGGUGGAUAUUUCUAAACCAGCUUUGCUGGUGGAGUCCUCUCCAAAUGGUGUGUUAAAGACCAAAUGAUUUAGCACAUAAUUAAGAAGUAAACAAUGAUCAGCAAGAAAUCUGCAGCGUCAGCUACAAGGCAUGGCUUGGAUGCAAGAAAAAGCAAUAUGCCAAGAAAAAUGAGUAAAUCUCUGUGUCUCUGUAUCUUGAUGUGGAGAGGGAAUGGAGUAGCUAGAAGGAAAGAGCUUGGUUCUGCUUUCUCUAUGUUUCAUCCCAUGUUGGUGUUGGGCAUAAAAGAAGCAGCAUGCCUAAGUUCCACAAACAGAAUGUUCCUUUUUUUCAGUGGUUUCAGUAAUUUUUCAGCUUUUAGUGCAAAGGAAAGAAUCAAGACACACGAGAUUAUUGUGCUAUGGAUUUAUAAUAACAUUUUAUUAAUAUAUUAUGCUACAAAAAUAUUUUGAUAAAAUAAUAUUAGAAAGCAUCUUUUUAUUACACUCUUCAAAACAGUUCACAAAAGCAGGAGGCGGAACAGGAAAAAAUAUCUGAAAUACAUUUGAAUUGAAAACUGACAAAGAACGCAAUUUGAAUUUCAGUGUGAGCAUGAAUCUGCAGGAUGGUUAAUCAGUCCUGUAGAAGGAAAGUAUUGACUACUUAUUGCAAAGACCUCUCUGCCUUUAUCUAGAUUAAGGUGCCUCCUGAAAUGUUAGUCACAGGAAAGGCUGAAUUUGGGUUGGGACAGAACACACACAACGCACACAUUUAAAUGUAUACACACAUACCCCCCUAUGAUCUCAAACGUCAGCAAAUUAUCCUUCUUCUUCAGUUAAGUUAAAACAUGCUUAAAUUGAAGCUGAGUUUUAGCACACUCCAUGGAACAUUGAUCACUUCAGAGAUAUGACAAGACCAUAUAACUUUUGGAUACAAUACAGAAAUACGGUACUAAGCAAAGUUUGGCAUGGUAACAUUUAUGCUGAGAUAAUAACUUUGGCACUUUGGUUUCUCUAACAUAAAUACAUGAUGGGAAAUUCCUCCCUAACAGUGGUAUAUGGUAAUGACUGAGUCAUAUCAUUUGACUAAUCAAUGCACUAAACAGAGAUUAAGUUCUCCCUCUUUCCAUCUCCCUCUUUCUCCACAACCGUAUAUUGAAGAACUAAGAUAAAUAUACAACUCUGUGCCUUGGGUGUUCCUAAAUUACAGUGGAGGUUGGAGGAAUGGGAAGAGAAGUUCAACAAAGCAGAUUUUUGACACCUGUAUAAAGCAUAGUUAUCAUAAAUCAUGUUCAUCAUUUAUUGCCAGAAGACAUAUUGCAUUAUUCAACAGCUCGAGGGAUUGCAGAGAAAUUACAUCAGUCAUAAAAUAUAAAAUACCUUCUGUCCCAGCUUACUGACUGGUUCUCCAAGUGGCAGUGCAUGUUAAUAUAGUAUCUGUAGUUAAGCGAGAAAAGCAUCAAAACACUGAAAGAGGAGAAAUUAGAUUUGUUGCUGAUGAUAUGGGAUUAUUUAUCCCACCAGGGCAAGACCUUGGCAGAUAUUCAGCAUUUGUUUAUAAUGCUACAGUUACAUUUAAAAUGAAUUGUGUUGGUGUCAGUUGUAGCUGAGUUGAGAAAAUGAAUCAUGCGACCAUUGAGCUUUGGAUUCAUCCAAAGUCAUGUUCUAGACUGCCAGACACUGGGUGACUCUUGAUGGUGUUUCUCAGAGAUAAGCUGUUAUAUGUAGUGGGCAUGAAUAUUUUUGUUAAAUCUCCUGCCUUUGGAAUCUUGUGAUUACAUGGGAAUUUGAGCUUUCCUUCAGAAGAAAGAAAACAGUUGGUUUUUAGUUUUCUGAGAAACCCACAGAGGAAAUUGAAGUCCCCUGAAGCUGGUAGUCAGUGUUGCUUCCAGAGCACGUAUCAAAUCUGGUCCAGUUUCUAAACUCAUGGUUUAGAAAACCAUUAGAAAUUCAGAAAUCAUGAUCCAUUGCAAUGGGUGUGCAUAGGUCUGUGCUAACCAGUACUACUGUGCUUUAAUGAAUGCUGAUUAGUAAACAACCCAUUUUAUCAACCACAGUGAGGGUUCAUUAUCCAACAUUGGUCUGCAUACAGGUCAUGUAUUGAAGAAAGUGACCCAAAGUCAUAUUUUAGGGUAAGAUGAGAAUAAAAGAUGUGUUUGGUUAGAGAGCUGUGCUGAAGUCAUUCACGUGGGGCUCCUGAGCUACAAUCUACAGAAACCUACUCAACCUUUAAGUCAUGAGCCAGAGACAGCUCAGAUGACUGAGGCAGCUGCUUCUAGGUGGCAAAAAUCAGGUGUGUAGACCCCAGAUCCAAGAGACACCUUGUUUCGACACCUGCACUGCACAAAUGUGGGGCACCAGCACAAGGGUUCCAGUAAAAUUUAUUAAUUUCCCAGAAUUACAGACAAAAUCCCAGGAAAUGCAAAGAUGUUAAAACAUACUUCAAUAUCCAAGCCAUUUACAUCCUGUGAUAGCCAAACAUACCACAGUAUCUGAGCUAAUGAAUAUUGAAUAUUACUGUCCAGUGCAGGAGGAACUCCAAAAACCUUGCUGGUGACAAAAGAGUGACUAUUCUGUGCAGCACGAUAACAGCUGGGAGUGUGGAGAGAUUUGUGUGCUCCUAAUAUUAAAAAAAAAAAGCUCCACAGCUUUAUGGAGAAAGCCACAGAUAGGGAAACUUCAGAACUGUAAUUUCUAGUCUUGAUCCUGUUUGUUUUCCUUACAGUCUUGGACAAGUUGUUUCUGUUUUCUGCUUUUUUUCCUCUCCCUUAUCUUUACAUGGUCUUGUCUAUUUAUACAGUAGGUUUUCCAACACCUGGAAUUAUUCCUGGGAUAGUACCACAGAAUAAUUUCUGGAUACGAUUCGGUUACAACAAAUAAAAUUCAAUGGGUUUUGG